rnacentral:rRNA from 3 species
CGGAGGGAAACCGAGUCUUAAUUGGGCGUUAAGUUGCAGGGUAUAGACCCGAAACCCGGUGAUCUAGCCAUGGGCAGGUUGAAGGUUGGGUAACACUAACUGGAGGACCGAACCGACUAAUGUUGAAAAAUUAGCGGAUGACCUGUGGCUGGGGGUGAAAGGCCAAUCAAACCGGGAGAUAGCUGGUUCUCCCCGAAAGCUAUUUAGGUAGCGCCUCGUGAAUUCAUCUCCGGGGGUAGAGCACUGUUUCGGCUAGGGGGCCAUCCCGGCUUACCAACCCGAUGCAAACUGCGAAUACCGGAGAAUGUUAUCACGGGAGACACACGGCGGGUGCUAACGUCCGUCGUGAAGAGGGAAACAACCCAGACCGCCAGCUAAGGUCCCAAAGUCAUGGUUAAGUGGGAAACGAUGUGGGAAGGCCCAGACAGCCAGGAUGUUGGCUUAGAAGCAGCCAUCAUUUAAAGAAAGCGUAAUAGCUCACUGGUCGAGUCGGCCUGCGCGGAAGAUGUAACGGGGCUAAACCAUGCACCGAAGCUGCGGCAGCGACGCUUAUGCGU